UAUUAACUUCAUAAUUGAAACUAACAUUAAGUUAUGUUUAUCAAACUUCCAAAAUUCUAUCAUUUAUUCUAACUUUGAACUUCCUUAUUUUUCCACUCUAUUUUUCUUUCAAUUUACACUCACGAUUUAACUAUUGCAUUACUGUAAUUUCUGACUAGUUAAAAUAUUUCUAUAUCAAUCAAUUUCUAGCUAAAUCUAUCUGAUUCCCCAUCUAAUUCUCUUGUCCUACCAAUAUUUUUUUUCCUACCCUUACCUAUCAUCACAAUUAAGUUAAAGUCAAAUUUAAAAUUCAAAAUAUCUGAAUUUCAAAUUAAAAUCCCUUACUUUCAAAUUCAAAUAUUCCAAAUUCUAGCUAUACCUAUAUGAUUCACCACCUAUUUCUACUCCUAUUAUCCCAUCAGAACUCACUUUCCCCCGCCUUACUCAUUGUUCUAUUUGUAAUUAAAAUUAUAAUUUUGAAAUUUGAAUAAUAAUAUCAAAUUCACUUUUUAACCUCAAAUUCCACUUCCAGUUGUUCCAUUUCUCGGUGGAAAAUUAGAUAGGUGAGGACGUCAGUUGCGUUCCAAAACAUUCUGACGAAAUGUCAGAUCAACGAACGAACAAAGAGAAUAAUCCAAUCCAUCACAAUAAAUAAAAUCAGAAAGUAUUUCCUGAAUUUCGAGGAGGUUAUGGCAACUUCUUCAAUUUACGUUCAAGUUGCGUUCAUUGAAUUAUGUUAAAAACCAUCAAAGGAAUAGUAAAUAAAAAAUUUCUUUUGUA
rnacentral:misc_RNA from 1 species